UUUGUGUUCUUCCAGGAAUUGGGCUACAGCCAGGGCCUAAGCCACGUGGCAGCCCUGCUGCUGAUGUGGCUGAGUGAAGAGGAUGCUUUCUGGGCCCUAGUCCAGCUCAUGGGGGACAGCCAGCACGCGAUGCAUGAUUUCUACACACCAGACUCCCCAAAACUGGAGCAAUUCCAGCACCAACUGGGAGCUAUCAUGCGUCGCGUGCUCCCCUCCCUGGAGAAACACCUGGAGAAGGAGGGUGUGUGCCUGAGA